rnacentral:rRNA from 1 species
GAUGAACGCUGGCGGCGUGCCUAAUACAUGCAAGUCGAGCGAACGGACGAGAAGCUUGCUUCUCUGAUGUUAGCGGCGGACGGGUGAGUAACACGUGGAUAACCUACCUAUAAGACUGGGAUAACUUCGGGAAACCGGAGCUAAUACCGGAUAAUAUUUUGAACCGCAUGGUUCAAAAGUGAAAGACGGUCUUGCUGUCACUUAUAGAUGGAUCCGCGCCGCAUUAGCUAGUUGGUAAGGUAACGGCUUACCAAGGCAACGAUGCAUAGCCGACCUGAGAGGGUGAUCGGCCACACUGGAACUGAGACACGGUCCAGACUCCUACGGGAGGCAGCAGUAGGGAAUCUUCCGCAAUGGGCGAAAGCCUGACGGAGCAACGCCGCGUGAGUGAUGAAGGUCUUCGGAUCGUAAAACUCUGUUAUUAGGGAAGAACAUAUGUGUAAGUAACUGUGCACAUCUUGACGGUACCUAAUCAGAAAGCCACGGCUAACUACGUGCCAGCAGCCGCGGUAAUACGUAGGUGGCAAGCGUUAUCCGGAAUUAUUGGGCGUAAAGCGCGCGUAGGCGGUUUUUUAAGUCUGAUGUGAAAGCCCACGGCUCAACCGUGGAGGGUCAUUGGAAACUGGAAAACUUGAGUGCAGAAGAGGAAAGUGGAAUUCCAUGUGUAGCGGUGAAAUGCGCAGAGAUAUGGAGGAACACCAGUGGCGAAGGCGACUUUCUGGUCUGUAACUGACGCUGAUGUGCGAAAGCGUGGGGAUCAAACAGGAUUAGAUACCCUGGUAGUCCACGCCGUAAACGAUGAGUGCUAAGUGUUAGGGGGUUUCCGCCCCUUAGUGCUGCAGCUAACGCAUUAAGCACUCCGCCUGGGGAGUACGACCGCAAGGUUGAAACUCAAAGGAAUUGACGGGGACCCGCACAAGCGGUGGAGCAUGUGGUUUAAUUCGAAGCAACGCGAAGAACCUUACCAAAUCUUGACAUCCUUUGACAACUCUAGAGAUAGAGCUUUCCCCUUCGGGGGACAAAGUGACAGGUGGUGCAUGGUUGUCGUCAGCUCGUGUCGUGAGAUGUUGGGUUAAGUCCCGCAACGAGCGCAACCCUUAAGCUUAGUUGCCAUCAUUAAGUUGGGCACUCUAAGUUGACUGCCGGUGACAAACCGGAGGAAGGUGGGGAUGACGUCAAAUCAUCAUGCCCCUUAUGAUUUGGGCUACACACGUGCUACAAUGGACAAUACAAAGGGCAGCGAAACCGCGAGGUCAAGCAAAUCCCAUAAAGUUGUUCUCAGUUCGGAUUGUAGUCUGCAACUCGACUACAUGAAGCUGGAAUCGCUAGUAAUCGUAGAUCAGCAUGCUACGGUGAAUACGUUCCCGGGUCU